CCUACGGGCGGCAGCAGUGGGGAAUAUUGGACAAUGGGGGGAACCCUGAUCCAGCGACGCCGCGUGAGUGAAGAAGUAUUUCGGUAUGUAAAGCUCUAUCAGCAGGGAAGAAAAUGACGGUACCUGACUAAGAAGCCCCGGCUAACUACGUGCCAGCAGCCGCGGUAAUACGUAGGGGGCAAGCGUUAUCCGGAUUUACUGGGUGUAAAGGGAGCGCAGGCGGCCUGUUAAGUCAGCGGUAAAAGCCCGGGGCUCAACCCCGGCGAGCCGUUGAAACUGGCGGGCUGGAGUUGGAGAGAAGUACGCGGAAUGCGCGGUGUAGCGGUGAAAUGCUUAGAUAUCGCGCAGAACCCCGAUUGCGAAGGCAGCGUACCGGCUCCACACUGACGCUGAGGCACGAAAGCGUGGGUAUCGAACAGGAUUAGAUACCCGUGUAGUC
rnacentral:rRNA from 1 species